rnacentral:rRNA from 1 species
UCCAGACUCCUACGGGAGGCAGCAGUGGGGAAUAUUGCACAAUGGGGGAAACCCUGAUGCAGCGACGCCGCGUGAGUGAAGAAGCAUUUCGGUAUGUAAAGCUCUAUCAGCAGGGAAGAAAAUGACGGUACCUGAUUAAGAAGCCCCGGCUAACUACGUGCCAGCAGCCGCGGUAAUACGUAGGGGGCAAGCGUUAUCCGGAUUUACUGGGUGUAAAGGGAGCGUAGACGGCAGCGCAAGUCUGAAGUGAAAUGCCGGGGCUUAACCCCGGAACUGCUUUGGAAACUGUGCAGCUAGAGUGCAGGAGAGGUAAGUGGAAUUCCUAGUGUAGCGGUGAAAUGCGUAGAUAUUAGGAAGAACACCAGUGGCGAAGGCGGCUUGCUGGACAGUAACUGACGUUGAGGCUCGAAAGCGUGGGGAGCAAACAGGAUUAGAUACCCUAGUAU